GGAUGUGAGGGCAAUCUGGCUGUGGCAUCUGUCAACCCAUUAUCACCGGGGUUGAUUUUGGCUGAUCUGGCUGGCUAGGCAGGUGCCCCCUUCCUCCCUCACUACUCUGAAGCUGCAUUCUUGGUCGAUAGAGGAGGACAGUUUCCUUGGCUAAGGGUAUACAAGUAGCUGAGCUCCCCUGCUAGAACCUCCAAAUGAGCUGUCACUGUCAAAAGACAAGUACUGUCAGAAUUUGGUGUGCUGAGACAGGUAUGGUUUUGUAUUUUAUUCUGUUGAUAUUAAACCCUGAAGACUAGGUUAUGAGCAAUAUUCAAUCA
ensembl:misc_RNA 7SK 7SK RNA